GCCUGAUGAUGAAAGAACCUUAAUUCAAUGGGAGUGCGCAGCUGGCAACAGUUGGCGCAUGCAUGACCAUGGCCUAAUCUUCUCUCUGAUGGA